rnacentral:rRNA from 1 species
GACGAACGCUGGCGGCGUGCUUAACACAUGCAAGUCGAGCGGUAAGGCCCUUUCGGGGGUACACGAGCGGCGAACGGGUGAGUAACACGUGGGUGACCUGCCCUCAGCUCUGGGAUAAGCCUGGGAAACUGGGUCUAAUACUGGAUAUGACUCCACGGUGCAUGUCGUGGGGUGGAAAGCCUUGUGCGGCUGAGGAUGGGCCCGCGGCCUAUCAGCUUGUUGGUGGGGUGANGGCCUACCAAAGGCGACGACGGGUAGCCGGCCUGAGAGGGCGACCGGCCACACUGGGACUGAGACACGGCCCAGACUCCUACGGGAGGCAGCAGUGGGGAAUCUUGCGCAAUGGGCGAAAAGCCUGACGCAGCGACGCCGCGUGAGGGAUGACGGCCU